AUGAACGCUGGCGGCGUGCCUAAUACAUGCAAGUCGAGCGAACAGAUAAGGAGCUUGCUCCUUUGAAGUUAGCGGCGGACGGGUGAGUAACACGUGGGUAACCUACCUAUAAGACUGGGAUAACUUCGGGAAACCGGAGCUAAUACCGGAUAACAUUUAGAACCGCAUGGUUCUAAAGUGAAAGAUGGUUUUGCUAUCACUUAUAGAUGGACCCGCGCCGUAUUAGCUAGUUGGUAAGGUAACGGCUUACCAAGGCGACGAUACGUAGCCGACCUGAGAGGGUGAUCGGCCACACUGGAACUGAGACACGGUCCAGACUCCUACGGGAGGCAGCAGUAGGGAAUCUUCCGCAAAGGGCGAAAGCCUGACGGAGCAACGCCGCGUGAGUGAUGAAGGGUUUCGGCUCGUAAAACUCUGUUAUUAGGGAAGAACAAAUGUGUAAGUAACUGUGCACAUCUUGACGGUACCUAAUCAGAAAGCCACGGCUAACUACGUG
rnacentral:rRNA from 1 species